GGAUGAACGCUGGCGGCGUGCCUACUACCUGCAAGUCGAGCGAACAGACGAGGAGCUUGCUCCUCUGACGUUAGCGGCGGACGGGUGAGUAACACGUGGAUAACCUACCUAUAAGACUGGGAUAACUUCGGGAAACCGGAGCUAAUACCGGAUAACAUGUUGAACCGCAUGGUUUAACAGUGAAAGACGGUCUUGCUGUCACUUAUAGAUGGAUCCGCGCCGCAUUAGCUAGUUGGUAAGGUAACGGCUUACCAAGGCAACGAUGCGUAGCCGACCUGAGAGGGUGAUCGGCCACACUGGAACUGAGACACGGUCCAGACUCCUACGGGAGGCAGCAGUAGGGAAUCUUCCGCAAUGGGCGAAAGCCUGACGGAGCAACGCCGCGUGAGUGAAGAAGGUCUUCGGAUCGUAAAACUCUGUUAUUAGGGAAGAACAAAUGUGUAAGUAACUAUGCACGUCUUGACGGUACCUAAUCAGAAAGCCACGGCUAACUACGUG
rnacentral:rRNA from 1 species